CGAACGCUGGCGGCGUGCCUAACACAUGCAAGUCGAGCGCGAAAAGGGCAACCUGAGUAGAGCGGCGCACGGGUGCGUAACACGUGGGUAAUCUGCCUCAAAGUUUAGGAUAACCUUCCGAAAGGUUGGCUAAUACUACUGAAGCUCACAGGGUCUUCGGACCUAGGGAGAAAAGUUGGCCUCUGUUUACAUGCUAACGCUUUGAGAUGAGCCCGCGGCCCAUCAGCUAGUUGGUGAGGUAAUGGCUCACCAAGGCUACGACGGGUAGCUGGUCUGAGAGGACGAUCAGCCACACUGGAACUGAGACACGGUCCAGACUCCUACGGGAGGCAGCAGUGGGGAAUUUUGCACAAUGGGCGCAAGCCUGAUGCAGCAACGCCGCGUGUGUGAUGAAGGUCUUCGGAUCGUAAAGCACUUUCGACCGGGACGAACAAGCUACUCCUAACACGAGUGGCCCUGACGGUACCGGGAGAAGAAGCACCGGCUAACUCUGUGCCAGCAGCCGCGGUAAUACAGAGGGUGCAAGCGUUGUUCGGAAUUAUUGGGCGUAAAGCGCGGGUAGGCGGCUUGAAAAGUCGGGUGUGAAAGCCCUCAGCUCAACUGAGGAAGUGCGCCCGAAACUCUCGAGCUUGAGUGCCGGAGAGGAUGGCGGAAUGCCCCAAGUAGAGGUGAAAUUCGUAGAUAUGGGGCGGAACACCGGUGGCGAAGGCGGCCAUCUGGACGGUAACUGACGCUGAGCCGCGAAAGCGUGGGGAGCAAACAGGAUUAGAUACCCUGGUAGUCCACGCCGUAAACGAUGAGAACUAGGUGUCGCGGGUGUUGACCCCUGCGGUGCCGAAGCUAACGCAUUAAGUUCUCCGCCUGGGAAGUACGGCCCGCAGG
rnacentral:rRNA from 1 species